GCAUGCCUACAACAUAGCGUUAAUGCAUCAUAUCCCAUUAGAACUCCACAAUUAAGCGCGCUCGGGCUAGAGUAGUAUUGGGAUGGGUGACCACCCGGGAAGUCCUAGUGAUUUACGUGCC
rnacentral:rRNA from 1 species